rnacentral:misc_RNA from 1 species
GAUGAAGAACGCAGCGAAAUGCGAUAAGUAAUGUGAAUUGCAGAAUUCAGUGAAUCAUCGAAUCUUUGAACGCACAUUGCGCCCUUUGGUAUUCCAAAGGGCAUGCCUGUUCGAGCGUCAUUUGUACCCUCAAGCUUUGCUUGGUGUUGGGCGUCUUGUCUCUAGCUUUGCUGGAGACUCGCCUUAAAGUAAUUGGCAGCCGGCCUACUGGUUUCGGAGCGCAGCACAAGUCGCACUCUCUAUCAGCAAAGGUCUAGCAUCCAUUAAGCCUUUUUUUCAUCUUUUGACCUCGGAUCAGGUAGGGAUACCCGCUGAACUUAAGCAUAUCAAUAAGCGGAGGA